rnacentral:rRNA from 1 species
ACGGGUGAGCAACACGUAUGCAAUCCACCUGUAACAGGGGGAUAACCCGGAGAAAUCCGGACUAAUACCCCAUAAUAUGGGCGCUCCGCAUGGAGAGCCCAUUAAAGAGAGCAAUUUUGGUUACAGACGAGCAUGCGCUCCAUUAGCCAGUUGGCGGGGUAACGGCCCACCAAAGCGACGAUGGAUAGGGGUUCUGAGAGGAAGGUCCCCCACAUUGGAACUGAGACACGGUCCAA